UAACCUACAUAGUGAUAUGUAGCUGAACUAUCAGAAGUCAGAAGAGGUCAUAGUACUACGUAAAUACGCGUUAGCGUAGGAAGGAC
rfam:Clostridium tetanomorphum DSM 665 contig214, whole genome shotgun sequence.